CCCAGGCUUCUAAGAAACCAUUUCCUUUGGAGCAGACCACCUUCCCAAACCACAUUUCAAGCUCUGAUUCCUCAACCUGUGUCAUCUGCUUCAUUCACUCCCUCUUACCUGGAAGUUUGGCUAAUGUGCCAUGUCUCUUCACAUCCCAGGGCUCUUUCCUUUGCUCCAGACACGUAAUAAGGUUGGAGUCUCACUCUGUUAUCCAGGCUGGAGUGCAGUGGAAAGCUCGUAGCCACCCCAGUGCUCACCUGUUGGACUGAGGAACAAGAAGACUGUGAACCAAGGACAAAGAUAAUUCACCACUUUCGAGGACUUCUCUCAUCGCCCAGAUGUCUGCAAGUCUAAGCCACCUCUUGAUCUUAGUCGCUCUCUGUCCCACAGGCUGGAUAAAAAUUUUGAGAAAACACACACGACCCAGGAAGGUUCUUUAGGAUGCCGUCCCCUCAUUUCCUUAGUUUUAGUGUCCGUAAAUAAAGU